rnacentral:tRNA from 1 species
GGAGGGGUGGUCGCUCAGUGGUAGAGCAUUUGCUUGUCAGGCAGAAGGUCACAGGUUUGAUCCCUGGCAUCUCCC